rnacentral:tRNA from 1 species
GCGGAAGUGGUGGAACCGGCAGACACACCAUCUUGAGGGGGUGGCGGCGCAAGCCAUGGGGGUUCAAAUCCCCCCUUCCGCA